rnacentral:rRNA from 1 species
GACGAACGCUGGCGGCGUGCCUAAUACAUGCAAGUCGAGCGAAGCGGCGGAUGGGUGAGUAACGCGUGGGUAACCUGCCCUUAAGUCUGGGAUACCAUUUGGAAACAGAUGCUAAUACCGGAUACUAAAGGAUGGACCUGCGAUGCAUUAGCUAGUUGGUAAGGUAACGGCUUACCAAGGCGAUGAUGCAGAGCCGAGUUGAUAGACUGAUCUGCCACAUUGGGACUGGGACACGGCCCAAAGUCCUACGGGAGGCAGCAGUAGGGAAUCUUCCAACAUGGACGAAAGUCUGAUGGAGCAACGCCGCUUGAGUGAAGAAUGUUUUCGGAUCGUAAAGCUGUAUUGUUGGUGGAGCGGUAAUCAACCAGAGGGUCACGGCUAACUACGUGCCAGCAGCCGCGGUAAUUC